rfam:Calypte anna contig68974, whole genome shotgun sequence.
GCAGACUCACUCUGUACUGAACUGCAGCCUCCAGUUCAGGUGCUUUUCUGUCUGCAAGAGCAGUAGUUCACACGAGU